UCUUACAGAAAUGAGCUGAGUCCAUUUGACUUUCCCUUCUCUUUAACAGGCUGAAGAACUCAAAUUGGCUACCCAGCUGUCAGGACCAGUCAUGCCCAUACGGAAUGUCUACAAGAAGGAGAAAGCCAGGGUCAUCACAGAGGAUGAGAAGAACUUCAAAGCAUUUGCCAGCCUUCGCAUGGCCCAUGCCAAUGCCUGGCUCUUUAGCAUCCGGGCAAAAAGGGCCAAGGAAGCUGCAGAACAGGAUGUUGAAAAGAAAAAAUAAAGUUAUUUUGGCAACUUGUGAUAAA